rnacentral:lncRNA from 1 species
CCAGACCUCAACUGCACUCCACCUGCAGAAGAUGCAGAAGAUGAAAUGGGUGAUGAUGAUGCAGGAGUACAAAUGGAUGAAGAUGUAGGAGUACAAAUGGAUGAAGAUGCGGGAGUACAACAUGCAGGUAUAGCUACAGUGGCAUUUCAGAAAUUUUCAGUUAGUGGUGGAAGAAAAAAAUCAGUUAAAUUACAGAAUACAGUUUGAUGAUAUGAUCAUAUCAUCAUUUGAUCAUUUGAUGAUAUGAUCAUAUCAUCAUUUGAAUGCUUAUGUUCAUUUGACCAUUUUUCCUUUGAUCAUUUGAUCAUUUUUCCUUUGCUGUAUUUCUUCGUGCAGGUGUUGAGCAAUCAGUUAAGAAAAGGGAUAGCCUCGAUGACAAGCAAAAGUAUGCUGCUUAUGUUGCAAUGCACACACUGUGCAUGAGUAGAGGGGGCAAAUUUGAAAGAGAUGACAAGAAAAAGAUUGCCAGUUUCUUUGGAGUGGGUGUAUGGAAUGUACAAAGAGUUUGGAAGAAAGCAAUGAAGCAAAUUGCUCAAGGUCUGGAGGUGGAUGUUUCAAGUCAGAGAAAAAAGAACCGUGGAAGAAAGCCAAAGGACAUUAAUCUAGAUCAAAUACCUACCAUUCCACUUAACAAGCGGUCUACUAUCAGGUCACUUGCUUGGCAACUCGGUUGCAGCCCUACGACACUCCACCGGAAGUUCAUGCUGAAGUUGAUAAAGAGGCAUACAAACUAUUUGAAGCCAGUUUUGAAGGAAAAGAACAAGAAGGAUAGAAUGGAAUUUUGCUUGUCAAUGCUCGAUGAGACAACAACACAAACUGAAAGGCCAAAAUUCAAGACCAUGCACAACAUUAUUCAUAUUGACGAGAAAUGGUUCUAUAUGACCAAGAAAAUCAGGAACUAUUAUCUGCUAUAUGGGGAGGAAGAGCCUACGAGAACUAUACAAAACGGCAGUUGGAAAAGUCGUGUUCUUGGCGGCUAUUGCUAGGCCAAGGUGGGAUAGUGAAGGAAAUGUGACAUUUUCUGGGAAAAUUGGAAUUUGGCCGUUUGUGAAAGAAGUUCCGGCUCAGAGGAGAAGCGACAACAGGCCCAGAGGAACAAUGGAGACGAAGUCCAUAAAAGUCAACAGGCAAGUAAUGAGAGAGUUCAUGAUAGAUAACCUACUACCAGCAAUACAAGCAUCUUGGCCUGAGAAUGAUGCUGGGCAAACCAUCUAUAUACAACAAGACAACGCCAAGCCCCAUAUCUUGCCCAACGACCCAGAAUUUGUAGCAGCCGCGGAAAGAACUGGACUCGACAUCAGACUAAUUCAACAACCUGCCAAUAGCCCUGAUCUGAAUGGCCUUGACCUUGGGUUCUUCAACUCGUUGCAAUCUCUGACAGAUUGUCUAAGCCCUAGAACGCUUCAGGAUCUUAUCAAGGGUGUGCUAGAUGAAUUUGAAAACUAUGAAGUUUACAAGCUGAACAGAGUUUUCCUAUCUCUACAAGCUUGCAUGAUUGAAAUCUUGAACCACGCAGGGGGCAAUGGGUAUAAAAUACCCCAUGCGAACAAGGAAAGGCUAGAGAACCUUGGGAUGCUACCUCCAAGACUUACAUGCCCUGAAGAGGUAUAUGCAAAUGCCAUGCACAAUCUUGGGAUAAUGGAGAGAGUUCAGUGAUGGAAGAAGAGGCUUGACAUACUUGUCGAGAUGCUUGUUGAUAUGCUUGAGGAGUUAGUUGUUGAGAUGCUUGAGGAGUUGCUUGUUGAGAUGCUUGUCGAGAUGCUUGUCGAGAUGCUUGAGGAGUUGCUUGUUGAGAUGCUUGUCGAGAUGCUUAUUCAUAUGCUUGUCGAGAUGCUUAUUCAUAUGCUUGAGGAGUUUCUUGUCGAGAUGCUUGUUCAGAUGCUUGAGGAGUUGCUUGUUGAGAUGCUUGUCGAGAUGCUUGUUGAUAUGCUUGAGGAGUUGCUUGUCGAGAUGCUUGUUCAGAUGCUUGAGGAGUUGCUUGUUGAGAUGCUUGUCGAGAUGCUUGAGGAGUUGCUUGUUGAGAUGCUUGUCGAGAUACUUGAGGAGUUGCUUGUUAAGAUGCUUGUGAUUAUUUGUGUGGAGUAUGUGUAACUCCUUGUUUGUGUGGAGUAUAUGUAAAUCCUAGAGAUGAGGCUUGUGCGGAGUAUAUGUAACUCCUUGAGAAGAGACUUGUGUGGAGUGCAUCAUUUGUAUGAUCAUUUUAAUUAACCAAGAACUACUCCUACAUACUCCAAGAACUACUCCUACUCCUACUCCAAGAACAACUCCUACUCCUAAUUUUAAUUAAAACUAAGCAGCAAGUCCACACGAUUUUAAUUUUAAUUUAAGGAAAAUCCACACGAUUUUACAGAAG